AAAAGAAAAGAAAAAGAGAGAGAGAAUGGAGAAAGGGAAGAAGUUAGGGUUUGGGAGAGAGGAAGAAGAGAGAUGACAAAUCGCCAUUGGAGAUCGAAUCCAAGGCAAGAAACUUCGAAGCAAUACUUCUCUCAGUGCUGGAAAAGGAGUUCGGGUAGUGGAAUCCACUCAUUCCGGCAAGAAAAUCCGAGAACGGACAAAGUUUCCUGGAGUUCCUGGAUGGGAAUCGGACGAAAAUCGGAGUUUAGUCGGAUUUGGUAAACCGAUCGAAAGCAGAAAAUGAGAGAGAAGGCAUCGCCGCCACACGUCGGCCGCCGUACGGAGGAGAGCGGUAGGACCGACGACCGACACGUGGCGACCGCGGGCUGGAGAAACGCAUCAGGCGUGCGCAACCGGGUUGGANCGA